CGGACGGGUGAGUAAUGCUUGGGAAUCUGGCUUAUGGAGGGGGAUAACUACGGGAAACUGUAGCUAAUACCGCGUAAUAUCUUCGGAUUAAAGGGUGGGACUUUCGGGCCACCUGCCAUAAGAUGAGCCCAAGUGGGAUUAGGUAGUUGGUGGGGUAAAGGCCUACCAAGCCGACGAUCUCUAGCUGGUCUGAGAGGAUGACCAGCCACACUGGAACUGAGACACGGUCCAGACUCCUACGGGAGGCAGCAGUGGGGAAUAUUGCACAAUGGGGGGAACCCUGAUGCAGCCAUGCCGCGUGAAUGAAGAAGGCCUUCGGGUUGUAAAGUUCUUUCGGUGAUGAGGAAGGUGUUUGUUUUAAUAGAACAAGCAAUUGACGUUAGUCACAGAAGAAGCACCGGCUAACUCCGUGCCAGCAGCCGCGGUAAUACGGAGGGUGCGAGCGUUAAUCGGAAUGACUGGGCGUAAAGGGCACGCAGGCGGUGACUUAAGUGAGAUGUGAAAGCCCCGGGCUUAACCUGGGAAUUGCAUUUCAUACUGGGUCGCUAGAGUAUUUUAGGGAGGGGUAGAAUUCCACGUGUAGCGGUGAAAUGCGUAGAGAUGUGGAGGAAUACCGAAGGCGAAGGCAGCCCCUUGGGAAUAUACUGACGCUCAUGUGCGAAAGCGUGGGGAGCAAACAGGAUUAGAUACCCUGGUAGUCCACGCUGU
rnacentral:rRNA from 1 species